rnacentral:rRNA from 1 species
AUACGGAGGGUGCAAGCGUUACUCGGAAUCACUGGGCGUAAAGCGCGCGCAGGUGGGCUGAUAAGUUGGAUGUGAAAGCCUACGGCUCAACCGUAGAACUGCAUCCAAAACUGUCAGUCUAGAGUCUGGGAGGGGAAGAUGGAAUUAGUUGUGUAGGGGUAAAAUCCGUAGAGAUAACUAGGAAUACCAAAAGCGAAGGCGAUCUUCUGGAACAGUACUGACGCUGAGGCGCGAAAGCGUGGGGAGCAAACAGGAUUAGAAACCCUAGUAGUCC